GUAGAAUAUAAGUGUAAGUAAAUAAACCUAUAUCAGUAGUUGCAGCUGAGCUUAUGGAAACGCAAGAAACCACAGUAUCAACUGUAGAGAAAAAGCAAGAGAACGCAGAAGGCUUAAAAAAUCACACUUACUCACUCAGCAGAGAACACUAAUCAAAUACUACUGCCAAUAACUACAGCAGAGAGCACUAAUCAUAAACUAAUCAUACACUACUGCCAAAAAAUACAGCAGAGAACAAUAAUCCAAAACUAACAAAACGCUACUGCCAAAUAAAUGUGCUAGAAGACUAAUAUUUUACAGUGACCCCUAUGUAACCUGAAUACAAUGGAAAAUUACAGGAGGCUGUGACUUGUAUUCUUAAUGGAAAAUUACAGAAUAAAGACUAAUAUUUUUUAAGGGAAAGUUGGGGUAACUUUCCACAAUGACGUUAUAACCCAAGAACAGGAAAUCAUUGUGGUGCCAAGAAGGUCAGGUAGACCCAAGAACAGGAAAUCAUUGUGGUGCCAAGAAGGACAGAUGGUAUUUUAAGGAAUGUGUUAGGGGGAGUUGUCGGGUGCACAGUGUAUAAAAUGAAUGUAAAACUGACAAUCGAGGUUCAAUACUGCAUAAUUGAUCCGGCUUUGUGCACCUGUGCAAAUAAAGUCAAACUUUUCUGAAGAGCUUGCUGCUGUGGUGUCUUUUCCCUCGUGAAGUUGUUUUCUACAAAUUAAAGAUUGGACUUUGAAUUCUGUCAGUUCCUAGACACGACAAUACACGGGCAACUUUUUUGGGCAAUAUUGCCAGCAAUAUUGCUGACAACGAUUGCCGGCAAUAUUUGCUAUUGAAAAGCGGCAACUAUCAUUAUCUGGGAACUUAGAUCGAUGGGGCAACACAGUAGGCAACUUUUCGGGAUCCUCCAAUCAGAAUACAGAUUUUAGUCAUGUGACUACUUCUCUCGGCUAAAUAAAAUCGACCAAGAUGGCGGCCAAUCUCGCCUGGAGCGAAUAAAUGGAGAGGCAACUGAUUUCAUGCUUUUCAGGUAAAUUGAAUCAUUAAAACGUGUUGUUCUCAUAUAUUGUGAAUAUACAUGUAUUGUUAAUUGUUUUUCAACAACUGUCAUCAAUUGUAUUCUCAGCUAUCUUUAUUUAUUAGCAUAAAUUACUACUAAAGUUUUUGUACGUUUCCAUGGUUACCAUGGGCUCCAUCAAUCAUAAAUGUAUGCAUAAUUUGGAUUAAAUUAUUUGACAGAAAUCUGUCAAAGUAACAGAACCUGGGUAAUUAAUAUGGUCCAAUAUUCAUAGCUAGCACAUUGAAUAAGCGUAGUAUUUACCUAAAAAAAAUCGAUGGUGGCUAGUAGCAAGCUAGCUAUCUAACGUUAGCUAGCGAGUACCUAACUUAGCUAGCUAAGUUAACUCGCUUGCUGGCUGUGUGCGUGUGCGUGCGUUGGUAACACCGGAUUAUGAGGACAUUUUGCCUGACUUUUCACCAGCAUUACAAGGACAGUUGGAGUUAUGAGGACAAAAUCGAUGUCCUCAUAAUUUGCGCAAUGUAGAUGCACUUAUGAGACUGCGACGAACAUCCUCCCGCCUUUUUUUGCUAUGUCCUUAUAUCUCAUGAAAACCGGAUUUUCAGUGUAUCUCAGUGUAUCCCAGUGUAUGCUCACUUUCCCUCUAUAGUUCGGGUGCCGAACUGCAGCUUCAUACACAUUUUCGGCGCCCAAUACACUAGUUCAGUGUCUCUGAUUGGCUAAGCAAUCCACCAUCACUAAUUGGCUGCAGUGGAUAUCAAUCAGAGAGUGGCAUCACUGAUUGGCUGCAGUGGAUGUCAAUCAGAAAGAGCGGCAUCAGUGAUUGGCUGAUGUUACCAUCUUCUACAUGCUGCUCACGUGACUGGAACAGGAAGAAGAAGCAUGACCUCAUGUUCCAGAAACUUCGCAAUGCUGUUUUAAUGAAGAGGACGUCUGGAAUCAUCUCAAAGUUCGUUUUGGACACAAAAUGCUGCAGACAUGUAAAAAUGAAGAAGACAGCUGAGUCCUGAACAAGAUGCUAUAGAUAAUAAUUGCCCGAAGAGAAAAGUCCUUGUCGGAAGAAAAUUCAUGAACCCCUUUAAAACAUAGAAGCUUCAAAAGAGGAUGGAUCACUCGGAAGACUUGUGAAUGAUCAUCACGUAAAUCCAAACUGCAACAUGAAGAAAAUAAUUGUGGAAGGAAAGCCACAUUUGUGCUUAUUUGCCAUUAAAACAAUAUCUCCAUGUGAGGACAUAACACAAUUAUGGGGAUUCCUCUUGGCCAUUGCAUUUAAAGAUAAAUUUGUAUACUGUCAAAGUCAGCAUGAUUUGG